UCAAAGAACUCCCAAACAGAUCAAUAAUACAAGAUUGACCUCUGUUUACCGUUGGCAUAUAUUGGCUUUUUUGGGUAUCUGAUUAUGUCUAGCCUAGAGACAUUUUCAAAUACGGUUGUACUUCUUGAGAUCCUACCAGCUGAAGACAGGAAGAAUCUAAUCGAACCUGCUUCCAGGCUACCUUGUCUCUGAUCAAGGGCAGUGAGAAGCCAAAUGCUGGGGUAGAAGAAGAGGAAAAUGGGGGCACUUGUUUGGAAAGACUCAUUGAGAAGCAGGAGAAUUUGAUGGAGUUAAAUGUCUCUUCCCCUUUGAAACGGAGCCAAGGCCAAUGGACUCUUCCACUCUCAUAAGCAACACGUAUUUAACAUUCAAAGAAACUCAACUCUGGGUCGACAAGGAUUCUGUUGGCUCCAGUCUUGGGGCCGGACAUCUGUCGCAGAGGGUGAGGGCAGGACGCUUGGCCCUUCUCACCGCCGGGACGUUAUUGCGGAGGGGAAGGAAAGGAAGUCGAGACAGAAUGACCGAAGGCUUGCUCUGCUCGCUUGGGGAAAUGCGGAUGAUCUGUUUGCUGUCUGUUAAUGUUUGACUUUGUCCUUCUGCCUCUGAUUCAGUGCUGUGUCUUGGUGUCCAAGCAGAGGAGCAGUCAGAGCUCUGCACUCUGUUCUGAUGGUUUUGCUUUUCCUUUCCAUAAUUUCAUCCAGGGGUUCCAGAUUUCUUUAUAGAUUUGUCCAUCCUAAUUGCAUUACAGCCUUUGGUCACAGGGCAGAAUCGAAGACCCUUGAGGGCAGAUGUUUGGUCUGUGUCGUUGUAUCCCUGAAGCCUGGCACCUAGCGGGUGCCUAAUAAGAUGCUUGUUAAUUGAUCGAUCAAUGACAUGAA